GAUGAAGAACGUAGUGAAAUGCGAUAAGUAAUGUGAAUUGCAGAAUUCAGUGAAUCAUCGAAUCUUUGAACGCACAUUGCGCCCGCCAGCAUUCUGGCGGGCAUGCCUGUUCGAGCGCCAUUUCAACCCUCGAGCCCCCCCGGGGGCCUCGGUGUUGGGGGACGGCACACCAGCCGCCCCCGAAAUGCAGUGGCGACCCCGCCGCAGCCUCCCCUGCGUAGUAGCACACACCUCGCACCGGAGCGCGGAGGCGGUCACGCCGUAAAACGCCCAACUUUCUUAGAGUUGACCUCGGAUCAGGUAGGAAUACCCGCUGAACUUAAGCAUAUCAAUAAGCGGAGGA
rnacentral:misc_RNA from 1 species